CUCAGGAGGAUUCAGUCCUAAUAUGACAAAGAUACACUGCUGUGACUGAAUCUAAUAAGGGAAGCAGUCGCUUGGAAUGCAGUAUUUCUGCCUUCUUGUGAUAUAUUUCUAUAAAGAUUUGAGUGAAGUAUUCACCUCUUUCAAAACUGGGGUAUAUAUAUUUCCAUUCGAAGACAAGAGCUUCGUCUUCAUGCUUUUUGUGCACCACCUGAGAGAGAAAUCCUGUGGAAAUGCAUUCUGAAGAAAACAGUUGGAUCCUGAAGAAAACAGUUGGAUUCAUUCUUGGAUCAAACUAAUGAAAAUUAAGAAAUGCUUUUAUAUGUCAUUUGGCUGGAGUGUGGGGGGCAACGCCAAAUGGAGACGCUCCAGCUCCCACCUUGCCAGCCGCUGGCCCUGGAAAGGCCUCACUGCUGCAGGCAGUGAGAAGGGCCCCUUCUACACUGGCCCCUCAGGUCUUCUUUGAGCACUGGACAUGGUGUCAAGUGAUGUUUCACAGCAGCAUGCUAAAGUGAAGACGUAGCUGGGAAAGA